GGAAAACACAAAAAAUUAAGCGGAUAGAGUGUAAAGUAAAAACACGGUAAUUCCAAACCCCAACAUCUCCAUUAGAAUAUUAAACAUAUAUAAACUAAAUGUUCCUGGUAACACUAAACUUUGCUUGAAUAUAUUCCGUUGGAAUUUUCCUAGAGUUGUAACUGAAACGUGAGGAUGAAAUUGGAAAAAAACUAAACAAAAAACAAAACCGUGUGUGAUAACCAAUUAAACAUGCUGCAUGGCAAAAAUAAAUAUGAUGUCGAAUAAUUUUUAACACUGAAGGAGUUGUCACUCUUCUUCAUAAUGUUGUUAAGUAUCUAAAUGUACUCCAUUCUAUCUCAUCAAUAACACAUAAUCAGUGUGUGCAUAUUUAUAUACACAUAUAAACAUAUACACACUACAUACAUGUAUGUAGCAAGACAUUCAUUGUUACUCACGAGAUAUAAAAGUAUUCAUCACAGAGGGUUGACAUCAUAAAGAUGGUGACAUAGGUAGAUCCCACUUCUGUACUUCUCAUAAUAAGCUCAACUAGCAACUAUACACAUAAGACAUCACUGGGCAAUUCUCAGGACUCAGGGGUGAUGCUGAACACCCCUGGACUACAAAGAUCAAUAGGGACAGCAUCAGAAGGUUAAGUGGAGUCGUUUCCCUAUGACCACAGUACACUUCUCCAUGGGCCAGCACAGUGCCCCACUGUGGGGACCACCUAGAACUAGGGUUCUUCUCCCAAGAAGAAAAGAGCCCAGAGUAGGUCAAUGACACCGUGGGCAUUGUGCCUUGGGGAGGAUGGCUUUUCCUGAAUGAGUCAUUAUCCUUCAGUGGAACCACUUUAAAAUUAUCCAAAAGCCUUCUUCAUCAUCAACAUCGACUCUGCCAGAUGACACCUUAAACCUAUGCCCAAAAUGUUUAAUCAUCCGUAUCCUCUCUCCACCCACUCCCACAUCUGCACCUGGAAAGAAGCUACUUAAGACAUUGCAGUGACCAAAGAGAGCUCCCGACCAGAACUUCCCCACCUUUCAAGAGUUGUCCAGGAUCACCUGGUUGGUAUGGUCGUCUGGGCAUCUGCCUUGAUCCCAGAAUCAUGGGAUCGAGCCCCACACUGAGCUCCCCACUCAUUGAGGAGUCUGCUUCUCCUUCUCCCUCUGCCCCUCCCCCGACUCCUGCAAGCUCUUGCAUGCUCUCUCUGUGUCCCUUUCUCAUAUAAAUGAAAUCCUUGGGAAGCCCGGGUGGCUCAGCGGUUUGGCGCCGCUUCGGCCCAGGGCCUGAUCCUGGAGACCCGGGUCCGAGUCUCCCUGCAUGGAGCCUGCUUCUCCCUCUGCCUGUGUCUCUGCUCUCUCUGUGUCUCUCAUGAAUAAAUAAAUAAAACCUUGAAAAAAAAUAAAUGAAAUCCUUAAAUUGUUCAUACUUGCUUUCACUAAGCCUUCUCUCCCUCUCGAAGGAUACCGUUAGCAUGUCUUAUCUGUCCUCACAACUCUUGGUACCAAAUGCCUGAAGUAGUCCUGUGGCCCACUGAUGUGCUUCCCGGUCUACCAAGGAAGUGGUGACAGC
rnacentral:lncRNA from 1 species